rnacentral:rRNA from 1 species
CAGUCGCCACGGGAAUACGAAGGGUGCAAGCGUUACUCGGAAUUACUGGGCGUAAAGCGUGCGUAGGUGGUUGUUUAAGUCUGCUGUGAAAGCCCUGGGCUCAACCUGGGAAUUGCAGUGGAUACUGGGCGACUAGAGUAAGGUAGAGGAUAGUGGAAUUUCCGGUGUAGCAGUGAAAUGCGUAGAGAUCGGAAGGAACAUCUGUGGCGAAGGCGACUAUCUGGGCCAUUACUGACACUGAGGCACGAAAGCGUGGGGAGCAAACAGGAUUAGAUACCCCUGUAGUCCCUGUCUCUUAUAC